UCACAGCAACAAUAUCGAUAACAACACUACAUUGUUGUCAUCGACCAAUAAUAUUUAUAUUUUAUUACAAUAUGAGAAAUUUUCAAAUUUGAAAGAAUCAGGUUUUGUUUUGGAGUACAAGAAUCAACAAGUACCAACAGAACCACUACCGUCACCAAAAUCUUCAUCUGAUGAGUCAACUAUUGUCGGUGUUAUUGCUGGAGUAUCUGUGGUUGUUGUGUUUGUUAUUAUUAUUGUUGUUGUUGUUUGCUUCCGUAAAUCAAAACAAA